rnacentral:rRNA from 1 species
GUGACGUAGCAAACGCAUUAAGCACCCCGCCUGAGGAGUACGGCCGCAAGGCUAAAACUUAAAGGAAUUGACGGGGACCCGCACAAGCGGUGGAGCAUGUGGUUUAAUUCGAAGAUACGCGAAAAACCUUACCAGGUCUUGACAUACCAAUGAUCGCUUUUGUAAUGAAAGCUUUUCUUCGGAACAUUGGAUACAGGUGGUGCAUGGUCGUCGUCAGCUCGUGUCGUGAGAUGUUGGGUUAAGUCCCGCAACGAGCGCAACCCUUGUUAUUAGUUGCCAGCAUUUAGUUGGGCACUCUAAUGAGACUGCCGGUGAUAAACCGGAGGAAGGUGGGGACGACGUCAGAUCAUCAUGCCCCUUAUGACCUGGGCAACACACGUGCUACAAUGGGAAGUACAACGAGUCGCAAACCGGCGACGGUAAGCUAAUCUCUUAAAACUUCUCUCAGUUCGGACUGGAGUCUGCAACUCGACUCCACGAAGGCGGAAUCGCUAGUAAUCGCGAAUCAGCAUGUCGCGGUGAAUACGUUCCCGGGUCUUGUACACACCGCCCGUCAAAUCAUGGGAGUCGGAAGUACCCAAAGUCGCUUGGCUAACUUUUAGAGGCCGGUGCCUAAGGUAAAAUCGAUGACUGGGAUUAAGUCGUAACAAGGUAGCCGUAGGAGAACCUGCGGCUGGAUCACCUCCUUUC